GUCCUAUGUUGCCAGCGGGUCAUGCCGGGGACUCAUGGGAGACUGCCGGGGUCAACUCGGAGGAAGGUGGGAUGACGUCAAAUCAUCAUGCCCCUUAUGUCUUGGGCUUCACGCAUGCUACAAUGGCCGGUACAAAGGGCUGCGAUACCGCGAGGUGGAGCGAAUCCCAGAAAGCCUGUCUCAGUCCGGAUUGAAGUCUGCAACUCGACUUCAUGAAGGCGGAAUCGCUAGUAACCGCGAAUCAGCAGGUCGCGGUGAAUACGUUCCCGGGCCUU
rnacentral:rRNA from 1 species